UGUGUAUACGCGUGAUAGAGGAAACGCAAACCUCGAAGCGCGUAAACCUAGAUUUCUCAGGACCACCAUUGAAAUCUCUCGUUUCCUUCAUUGCUAUCCUUUGGCUGUCGGAAUCCUUCACCAGCUACGCCUGUUCAUCGAAGGGCGAGUGCGCCUGGCGAAGAUUCAACCAUCAUCUCGACUCGGGCUGUUGUAUCUGUGGCAUCGGAUUAGGGUUAGGGUUUUGUGGAGAAGAGCAACGUGCAUCGAAUUGUUGGUUGAUUUUGUGUAAUUUCAUAUGCUUUAUGUUGUUCCUGCUCUUCUGGUUUAGAAAAAAACCCUCGAUUCAUGUAAAUCCCGCCGCUGUAUGAUUAAUGAUUUCCGGAUAGUAAUUUUUUUCGUAUUUUCGAUUUU